AUCUUGAAAACGGAAAAUAAAAACAGCAGACCUAUGAAGGUCGAAGGGGAAGAAAAGCUGUAUCGAUUGUUGAGAUCUGGCGACUUGUUUAAAUUUCAUCAGCCUCACUUCUAUGAACUCUCAGGGUCCUCGUAAGAACUUCCAUUUUAUGUUCUUGUCUUCUCAUCAGUUUGAGUUGUGUCUUUAACAUUGGAGAGAAAAACAACUUGCAAGAUUUUCUUUCAGUAUGAACCAUUCUGAGGUCCUUCAAUUCUUUAGCUGAUUACCAACUCCUACCACUGUUAACCCUCAUCCAGGAACAAGCUUAUGUCUUUAACAUUCUGAGUGGGCUUCAGCAUCCUUGCAUAUGUUCAAUUCUUAAAAACCUGUUGAAAUAAAAGAUCAGGAGACAUAGGAAGGAUGCCAGAAGAGAGCGUGGCCUCACGUGUACCAGCUCUCUGCUCUCCUUUGCCUUGGGACGUUCCAUCCCUGGAAGUUUCCCUGCCCACAUCUUUGUAGAGAGUCCAUUCUCCAAGCUUCAGUGUGUCAUCUGUGAGGACCGUGACCCACCUGGUACAUCGCCUCAGGGCAUUCAUUUCAGGCUCCUUCUAAAUGGCCAAGAGACAACACCAACAUUUUUGUAAUGGCCUGCAAGGCCUUCCGAGAUCUACCUCCUGCAACUCAGCUUCUCCUGUGCUCUCCUUCUGGACUCACUCUGCCUCAGCAACACUGGUCCCUGUUGCCCCACCAAUAUGCCAGCUGCACUGAUGAGGAAACUGAAACAGAAAAUCCAGAGUAAAUUCCACCAGGCCACACAGCAAGGUCUGAUAGAGCCAGGAGAGACUUUAUGAAAUCCAGACUCUCACACUAAUGCUCUAUCAGCUAGACCUCCAUGUGAGUCUCCCCAAUGUAGGUAGGAAGUGCUUUCCC
rnacentral:lncRNA from 1 species